CAGGCUUCAGGCUUGGCUUUGAAGAGGAGCCAGUGGUUUUAUGUGCUCUGGUGCAGUUGCUGCAGCAGGGAGCUGAUCUGAGAGCUUCAGUUAUCUGGGAAACCACAACAUGGACAAGCCUGACUUCAUUCCUGUUUGAUUGUAUUAGGUGAUCUUGGCCUGGUUCCAUCAAAUCAUGGCAGAAUGUUUUACUGAUUAUGGAAAAAAGGAAGAUGCAAAUUGUAAAGAUGAAGGAUUCCUCUUCUGUGGUCAGUUCUUCACUAUUGCACACAUCUGUGUUUGAGACAGCCAGUGCUCCAGUGAAGAGAUUGUGAGAGUUCAUUGCAUGAAGCAGUGAAGAUGCAGCUGGGUUGCCUUUGAGACCACAGGAUGCUGAGACAUCCAAGCCAUGAGACACCUGCCAAGGAGACCUUCAUAUAGCGAAUGGAAGUAGCAAAAGUUUGAAGUAGAUGAGAAGUUUCUGGGUGUUGUGUGGUAUUUUGAUCAUAUUUUGAAAAUAAGCUCAGCUUGCUGGACAUCAGACAGCUGAGCUAGCCAUUAGCUGACCAAAGAAUACCAUAGACAUUUGGAGGACUGUGGGAAGAUGGGAGACUGGAAGUUGUAAGGUGGGGCUGAUACAGGACUUUGCAUUUUUUAGAUAAAGGAAGGGAAGAGUCAGGAGUCACUGGUGGGUGCUCAAGUGAUUCUCUGAUCUUUCAGGUUCUGACCCCUAGAUUUGACUUCUGAUUUUUUCUUGAUGAAGAUUACUUAUGUUAACACAUUCUGAGGAUCCUUACAAGAUAUGCUUAAUAAGCAGAAAGGGGUAAUUAAGACUGCCAGAAGUAGAUUAAAUAAUACAUUAUUAACUUGACAUGCUUUAAAUGCUACUGAAAAGAAAACAAGUACAUUGGGAGAUAUUAGAUAAAAAAUAAACUCCUAAAUUAAAGCAAUCUGUACACUUUAACAAUGUGUUUAAUUCAGAAUAAAAACCAAAAAAAAACCCUACAAAGGUUAAGUUGAGGCAGUAUUCUGCUUUGUCUUUACGAAAACAUAAAAAUUUCCAGCAAAGGAAUGUAAGGAACACUGAUGUCAUAGGGUUGGUUCUAGGACUGUGUCUCAUAGGCAAAAGUAAGUGAGUGAUGUCACUGGGUUCUGCUUUUCAGUGACAGUUUUGGAUGUAGUAGUGUUACUAUUUUUACAUGUCUAAAAGACGUUUAUUUACUAUGCUCAUUAGAAUUAUGCUUCUGAUUCACAUAUAUGUUUGCCCAUUAAUAGCAAAAAAUAUACCAGAAUGCCUUGGGAGUAAUGAUGGUAUGACUUAUCUUUAAGCACCUGAAAAAAUGGGAAAAUAAAAGAUUAACAUGUACAAGUUAUUGGAACCAAAGUUGUUAAAACAAGUAUCUCAAAAAUAUAGAUAUCUCAAAAAUAUAACUGAUAUUUAAAAAGUUCCUCCCUAUUCCCCCACCCCCAUCCAAUUCAAGGAUAAGGAACAACAUUUUCAUUAUUCCCACAUUGGGAUAGAUGUAAGCUGAAUACUUCAUGCAAUCUGUUAUGGGGCCUUAUGUACGCCCCAUCAAAAAUUUCAUGGUCUAAUAAAUUCUGAUGUAAAAACAAACUUACACUUUUAGUCUUUCUCAGUAGGAUGAUUUCCUUCUUUACUCACACAGAAAGAAAUGUCAUACUUCUUGUGAACCUAAAUGCUUAUUGACCUGUGGUAGUCUGAAUGUAAUUGGCCUGCAGAAGCUCAUAGGGAAUGGUACUCUUAGGAGUUGUGGCUUUGUUGCUGUAAACUUGGCCUUGUUGGAACAAGUGUGUCACUUUGUGGGUGGAUAUUGAGAUCUUAUGUAUGCUCAAGCUAUCAACCAUAUCCCAGACCUCUUGCAGUUGCCAAUGGGUCAAGAUGUGCAAUGAACAGCACCUUCUACAGCAGCAAGUCUGCCUGCAUUCUACCAUGUUACAACUUGAUGAUACUUGAUAAAACCUCUGAAAAUGUAAGCCACCCCAAUUAAAUGUGUUUUCUUUAAAAGAUCAGCCAUGUACAUGGUGUCUCUUCACAGAUAUAGAAACCCUAACUAGGUCAUUACAUGAUUCAUUAACCUUUAGAGAGGAAUUAUGAAAAUCACUGCCAAAUUUACUUUAGAGAUGAUUAUAUCACAUAUAGGCUCA